rnacentral:rRNA from 1 species
GACGAACGCUGGCGGCGUGCCUAAUACAUGCAAGUUGAGCGCUGAAGGUUGGUACUUGUACCAACUGGAUGAGCAGCGAACGGGUGAGUAACGCGUGGGGAAUCUGCCUUUGAGCGGGGGACAACAUUUGGAAACGAAUGCUAAUACCGCAUAAAAACUUUAAACACAAGUUUUAAGUUUGAAAGAUGCAAUUGCAUCACUCAAAGAUGAUCCCGCGUUGUAUUAGCUAGUUGGUGAGGUAAAGGCUCACCAAGGCGAUGAUACAUAGCCGACCUGAGAGGGUGAUCGGCCCCAUUGGGACUGGGACACGGCCCAAACCUCUACGGGAGGCAGCAGUAGGGAAUCUUCGGCAAUGGACGAAAGUCUGACCGAGCAACGCCGCGGGAGUGAAGAAGGUUUUCGGAUCGGAAAACUCUGUUUGUAGAGAAGAAAGUUGGUGGGAGUGGAAAGCUCAUCAAGUGACGGUAACUACCCAGAAAGGGACGGCUAACUACGUG